UACAGAGGGUGCAAGCGUUAAUCGGAAUUACUGGGCGUAAAGCGUGCGUAGUCGGUUAUCUAAGUCGGGUGUGAAAUCCCCGGGCUCAACCUGGGAAUUGCAUUCGAUACUGGAUAGCUAGAGUUCGGCAGAGGGAAGCGGAAUUUCCGGUGUAGCGGUGAGAUGCGUAGAUAUCGGAAGGAACAUCAGUGGCGAAAGCGGCUUCCUGGACCAGAACUGACGAUCAGGCACGAAAGCGUGGGGAGCAAACAGG
rnacentral:rRNA from 1 species